ACAGUGGUGGUUCAGCGGUAGAGUUCUUGCCUCCCGUGCGGGAGACCUGGGUUCCAUUCCCGACCAAUGCA
rnacentral:tRNA from 1 species